rnacentral:rRNA from 1 species
UAGGGAAUCUUCGGCAAUGGACGAAAGUCUGACCGAGCAACGCCGCGUGAGUGAAGAAGGUUUUCGGAUCGUAAAACUCUGUUGUUAGAGAAGAACAAGGACGUUAGUAACUGAACGUCCCCUGACGGUAUCUAACCAGAAAGCCACGGCUAACUACGUGCCAGCAGCCGCGGUAAUACGUAGGUGGCAAGCGUUGUCCGGAUUUAUUGGGCGUAAAGCGAGCGCAGGCGGUUUCUUAAGUCUGAUGUGAAAGCCCCCGGCUCAACCGGGGAGGGUCAUUGGAAACUGGGAGACUUGAGUGCAGAAGAGGAGAGUGGAAUUCCAUGUGUAGCGGUGAAAUGCGUAGAUAUAUGAAGGAACACCAGUGGCGAAGGCGGCUCUCUGGUCUGUAACGGAUGCUGAGGCUCGAAAGCGUGGGGAGCAAACAGG